UACGUAGGGUGCGAGCGUUGUCCGGAAUUAUUGGGCGUAAAGGGCUCGUAGGCGGUUUGUCGCGUCGGGAGUGAAAACUCAGGGCUUAACCCUGAGCCUGCUUCCGAUACGGGCAGACUAGAGGUAUGCAGGGGAGAACGGAAUUCCUGGUGUAGCGGUGAAAUGCGCAGAUAUCAGGAGGAACACCGGUGGCGAAGGCGGUUCUCUGGGCAUUACCUGACGCUGGGGAGCGAAAGUGUGGGGAGCGAACAGG
rnacentral:rRNA from 1 species